UACGAAGGGUGCAAGCGUUACUCGGAAUUACUGGGCGUAAAGCGUGCGUAGGUGGUGGGUUAAGUCUGUCGUGAAAGCCCCGGGCUCAACCUGGGAAUGGCGAUGGAUACUGGCUCGCUAGAGUGCGGUAGAGGAGAGUGGAAUUCCCGGUGUAGCAGUGAAAUGCGUAGAGAUCGGGAGGAACAUCAGUUGCGAAGGCGGCUCUCUGGACGGUGACUGACGCUGAGACGCGAAAGCGUGGGGAGCAAACAGG
rnacentral:rRNA from 1 species